GACGAACGCUGGCGGCGUGCUUAACACAUGCAAGUCGAACGGAAAGGCCCUGCUUUUGUGGGGUGCUCGAGUGGCGAACGGGUGAGUAACACGUGAGUAACCUGCCCUUGACUUUGGGAUAACUUCAGGAAACUGGGGCUAAUACCGUAUAGGAUCUCCUGCUGCAUGGUGGGGGUUGGAACGUUUCGGCGGUUGGGGAUGGACUCGCGGCUUAUCAGCUUGUUGGUGGGGUAGUGGCUUACCAAGGCUUUGACGGGUAGCCGGCCUGGGAGGGUGAACGGCCACAUUGGGACUGAGAGACGGCCCAGACUGCUACGGGAGGCAGCAGGGGGGAAUAUUGCACAAUGGGCGGAAGCCUGAUGCAGAAACGCCGCGUGCGGGAUGACGGCCUUUGGGGUGUAAACCGCUUUCGCCUGUGACGAAGCGUGAGUGACGGUAAUGGGUAAAGAAGCACCGGCUAACUACGUG
rnacentral:rRNA from 1 species